CGCCUGCCAGCGGGCGGUGUGCAUCACCGUGCCCUUGAAGUCGGCGAGGCCGGCGAUGUCCGGCACGGCCGGGCGGCUCAGUCCGCCGGUGGCGU
rnacentral:tRNA from 1 species